AUGUUAAUGAUUAACAGGAUAAGGGAAAAUUCUUCCAUGCAGGACAGGAGCUCCAGCUGCAGAGUCCCCUCUCCCAGACAGAGAGAGGCUCUCCCUGUGUGGUUUUCAGGAUUCCAAGCUACAGGAGGAGUAUCCCCUUCUUGUAGCUGUUUGAACUGGUGCUUUAUGCACUACAACAUUAAAAAAGCAUGGAACAGUUUACAGUCACAAUGCACAGGGUAUCAGGCAGCUACAGCUCUGUUAGACUCUGGGAGCCCACUGCUGACACCAACCAUCUGCAGUGGGACUACAAACAGUUCCAUCAAGGGAACUGAAAACAGGUGUUAACCCAAUUGGCAACAAGAGGGAAGGAGGAUACACUGAAACCAAAGGACAGUUGGAAGCAGCAAGACUUCCCAACAGAUGCCAGUGCUAACAAUGUGUGUCUCCCAAGAAGGUUUUGUGUCAGGUAUGACAGCUACACAGCUACACUGGAAGGGUGAGCCCAUGGCCCACUGGGAACUGGACAUUUCAACCUUAAAGAACCAGCAGUACAAUUUCACAAGAGGCUUCCUCGUGCUCACCACGGCCACAUUUGCUGCCAUCACCAUCUGAGACACAAACUUCACAAACACGGCCAUUUACCAGGGGGUUUUGCCAAACAAGCACCCACUGAGAUGCUUUCACUUCGUUUCUCCAGUAGCAAUGAUGGAUUUACAUUUCCCAGAGGGUUUCUGGACUCCCAGGGAGCUGCAGUAAGUGGCAGGAUGCACAAACACCCAUUGGGGCAGAGAAACCAACUCACUGCUCACCUACAGCAACACAAGGAGCCUUCAAAGCCUGGGCAUCACUUAUUUCUCUUUUAGAUGUCAGGAGCCCAAAGACUGAAGUUUUUGAACAGUUAAAAGUUCUUAGGCUAUAAACCAAUUUGAAUCAAUUUGAUCACCUCAUCAACUUCAGGUAACUCUUUAAACUGCAUCAUUUAAAGUAGCCAGUGGUGUCAUUUCUCUUGAGCAAAAACUGCCUUUUAAAGCACACACCCUGCUUUUCCAGAGACUUGUCAUUUGUUUGUAAACAACAGUUAGAUAAGAACCAGAGCACAGAACUUAAAUAUUUUUAGGAUGCUGAUGGUAACACGUUAUAAAAAAAAAAAUAAAAUAACUUAACUGGUAGGAUUUUUGCUAAUA
rnacentral:lncRNA from 1 species